UGUCCGAUGGUGUAAUUGGCAACACGUCUGAUUUUGGUUCAGAAGAGUCCAGGUUCGAGCCCUGGUCGGACAGCCU
rnacentral:tRNA from 1 species